rnacentral:rRNA from 1 species
CACGGGGGUUGCGAGCGUUGUCCGGAAUUACUAGGCGUAAAGGGCAGGCAGGCGGAUCCAUAAGUUUAUCGUUUAAGGCGUCGGCUUAACCGGCGUAGGGCGGUAGAUACUGUGGAUCUGGAAUGCGGUUGGGGAAGACAGAAUUCCUAGUGUAGCGGUGGAAUGCGCAGAGAUCAGGAGGAAUACCGAAGGCGAAGGCAGUCUUCCAAGCCGUUAUUGACGCUCAACUGCGAAGGUGUGGGUAUCAAACAGGAUUAGAUACUCGCGUAGUCCCU